CGCUGCACAACAGCUGAACGGCAUCAAUGCUAUUUACUUCUACGCAGAUUACUUAUUCAGACAAUCUGGCAUCCCCGCUGAUAAAAUCCCAUAUGCGACCGUUGGCACUGGUGCCUGUGAAUGCAUCACAGCUUUAACAUGUGGUCUGCUCAUUGACCGUCUGGGAAGGAAAGUGCUCAUUGCGGGAGGAUACACACUGAUGA